rnacentral:rRNA from 1 species
AGUGAACGCUGGCGGUAGGCCUAACACAUGCAAGUCGAACGGCAACACAGUAAGAGCUUGCUCUUACGGGUUGCGAGUGGCGGGCGGGUGAGGACUACAUCUGAGUCUACUUUUUCGUAGGUGAUAACGUAGGCAAACUUACGCUAGUACCGCAUACGACCUCCGCGUGAAAGCAGGGCAUCUUCGGACUUUCCACGUGGUGAUGAUCCGAUGUCCGAUUAGCUAGUUGGCGGGGUAGAGGCCCACCAAGGCGAGCAUCCGUAGCUGGCCUGAGAGGAUGAUCAGCUACAUGGGAAGUGAGAAACGGCCGAGACUCCUAAGGGAGGAAGCAGUGGGGACUCUUGCGCAAAGGGGGAAAGCCGGAUACAGCAAAACCGCGUGAGUGAUGAAGGACUUCGGCCGGGAAAGUCCUGAUGGUCUGAAAGAAAAAAAGCAGGUUAAUCCCGGACGGUAAUGACGGUACCCAAAGAAUAAGCACCGGCUAACUUCGUG